rnacentral:rRNA from 1 species
AACGAACGCUGGCGGCAUGCCUAACACAUGCAAGUCGAACGAGACCUUCGGGUCUAGUGGCGCACGGGUGCGUAACGCGUGGGAAUCUACCCUUGGGUUCGGAAUAACUCAGAGAAAUUUGAGCUAAUACCGGAUGAUGUCGCAAGACCAAAGAUUUAUCGCCCAAGGAUGAGCCCGCGUAGGAUUAGCUUGUUGGUGAGGUAAAAGCUCACCAAGGCGACGAUCCUUAGCUGGUCUGAGAGGAUGAUCAGCCACACUGGGACUGAGACACGGCCCAGACUCCUACGGGAGGCAGCAGUGGGGAAUAUUGGACAAUGGGCGAAAGCCUGAUCCAGCAAUGCCGCGUGAGUGAUGAAGGCCUUAGGUGUAAAGCUCUUUUACCCGGGAUGAUAAUGACAGUACCGGGAGAAUAAGACCCCGGCUAACUCCGUGCCAGCAGCCGCGGUAAU